rnacentral:snRNA from 1 species
GGGCAGUCUGGCUGCGGCACCUGUUACCCCACUGAUCGCCAGGGUUGAUCUGGCUGCCUGCUUCGUAUAAGUCCCGCCUGAAGCUGCGCUCGGCGGAAGAGGGUGGCCUUGGCAUACAGAGAUGGACCGGUCUUUGGCUGAGGGUAUAUGAGUAGCUGCCCUCCCCUCCUAGACCCUCCAAACCAGCUCUCUAAUUUACACAGCCCCCGGCCCCCACCUGCAGGGGGGAAGCUUCAUGAAUGGUGAAGCAGGUCUGCGUGUGUCUCGCAUUCUCU